GGCUGGGUAGCUCAGUUGGUUAGAGCAUCAUCUUGAUAUGCCAAGGGUUCGGGUUCCAUCCCCAGCCA
rnacentral:tRNA from 1 species